rnacentral:rRNA from 1 species
AGGGCAGCCAAGUCGUGAGGCGGAGCUAAUCCCUUAAAGCCAUUCUCAGUUCGGAUUGUAGUCUGCAACUCGACUACAUGAAGCUGGAAUCGCUAGUAAUCGCGAAUCAGAAUGUCGCGGUGAAUACGUUCCCGGGUCUUGUACACACCGCCCGUCACACCAUGGGAGUCAGCAACGCCCGAAGCCGGUGACCCAACCGAAAGGAGGGAGCCGUCGAAGGUGGGGCCGAUAACUGGGGUGAAGUCGUAACAAGGUAAC